UACGUAGGGGGCAAGCGUUGUCCGGAAUCAUUGGGCGUAAAGCGCGUGUAGGCGGCUUCGUAAGUCCGUUGUGAAAGUCCAGGGCUCAACCCUGGAAUGCCGAUGGAUACUGCGGAGCUAGAGUCCGGAAGAGGCGAGUGGAAUUCCUGGUGUAGCGGUGAAAUGCGCAGAUAUCAGGAGGAACACCGAUGGCGAAGGCAGAUCUCUGGGCCGUAACUGACGCUGAGGAGCGAAAGCGUGGGGAGCGAACAGG
rnacentral:rRNA from 1 species